rnacentral:tmRNA from 1 species
GGGGGCGAAAAGGGUUCGACGGGGAUCGUUGACAUCAGGGUCGCAUACCGAGGUCCCAUUGGCUCGUUAAACAAAUGGGGUUUAAACAUAAUCGCAGCCAACUACGAUUAUGCUCUGGCUGCCUAAUCGCAGCCAGCGUCCCUUCCAUCUUCUCCUGUAGGAUGGAAUGUGGAUGUCAGAGAUACAGGAUAGCUCCUUUCUGAAGCUUAUAGGAAAGGAGCGAACCUUCAUAAGCUAAUCCUUCCGAAAUCCUGCCUGUGGGAGUUUGGAGGGAUGAAUGAAAAACACAGGCUAAGUAUGUAGAGGCCCUGUUGGAAGGUUCCCGGACGCGGGUUCGAUUCCCGCCGCCUCCACCA